CACGUAGGGGGCAAGCGUUGUCCGGAUUUAUUGGGCGUAAAGAGCUCGUAGGCUGUUCGAUAAGUCGGGUGUGAAACCUCCAGGCUCAACCUGGAGACGCCACCCGAUACUGUCAUGACUAGAGUCCGGUAGGGGAGCGUGGAAUUCCUGGUGUAGCGGUGAAAUGCGCAGAUAUCAGGAGGAACACCAGCGGCGAAGGCGGCGCUCUGGGCCGGUACUGACGCUGAGGCGCGAAAGCGUGGGGAGCAAACAGG
rnacentral:rRNA from 1 species